ensembl:miRNA
CUCCUUAAUCCUUGCAAAGAACAUGAGUCACUGAGUCAGUAAAACCUUCAUUGACUCAUGUUUGUUGCUAGGGUCAAAGGAG